rnacentral:miRNA from 1 species
AACUUCUGUUUGCCACAGUGGGC